CGGCAGUGGUAGGGCUGAUGUCGUUUUAAGAGCGAAUUCGGUGCUUAGCCGAUUUUUACAUUCAAUUACUAACUCAACUAAUGUUUCUGACUCAACUUUAACAUUCUUUUAUAGAGUGAUAUCUUCUUUGAAUUCAUUAGCAUUUUCUUGAUUAUCUUCCCAAGUCAGGGUUGCUAGGCUACUCAAGAUUUCACCUUCGCAAGGUGCUAUUGCAAUUGGGUUCUCCUCCUCAUU
rnacentral:lncRNA from 1 species